rnacentral:tRNA from 1 species
AUCUUUUUAGUAUACUUAGUACAUUUAAUUUCCAAUUAAAAAGAUUUAUUUUUUUAAAAAGGUA